rnacentral:rRNA from 1 species
GACGUAGGAGGCGAGCGUUAUCCGGAUUCACUGGGCGUAAAGCGCAUGUAGGCGGAUGUCUAAGUCGUGUGUUAAAGCCCCUGGCUCAACUGGGGGAGGUCAUGCGAGACUGGAUGACUUGAGGGCAACAGAGGCACGUGGAACUCCCGGUGUAGCGGUGGAAUGCGUAGAGAUCGGGAAGAACACCCGUGGCGAAGGCGGCUCUCUGGGACGGUACUGACGCUGAGACGCGAAAGCGUGGGGAGCGAACAGG